UUACAGAGCUGGAAUUGCAGAAUUCGUGGCUACUUUCUUGUUUUUGUACAUCACUAUCUUGACUGUUAUGGGUCUUAAGAGAUCUGAUAGUCUGUGUAGUUCAGUUGGUAUUCAAGGUGUUGCUUGGGCUUUUGGUGGUAUGAUCUUUGCUUUGGUUUACUGUACUGCUGGUAUCUCAGGUUAGAUUUUUUUCCUUUUCAUUUCUUGUUGUUUCUUAGUCAUUAUCUUGCUAAAGCUUGUUCCGUUUAUCUAAUAUAUAGGUAUAACAUUUUGUGGCUAAUUUUCUUUGUUUACUUUCGUUUGCUCACCAUAUUUUUAGCUUGUGGUUUAUUUACUUUGGUACUUAGACCAUACUUUUGUCAACUAAUUGAGUGUAUUCUUGAGUAAUUACCAUAAAAGAUUCAGCCUUUCCCUGUUUUAGAAGUUGAAAACAUGUUUAUUGGUUAACUUUCUGUUUUAAUUACAGGAAAUGGAGUCUUUACUCUUGCUCAAGUUUGUUCAGUUAUUUUACUAAAAGUAUAGCCUUUUGUGGUGCCAUAUUUGAGCUUGUGGUUACUUAUUUUGUAUAUCAUACUUUGUCAAGUUAUUUUUUGGAUUCUUGAGUAUACUAAGAAAAAAAAAAUCAGUUCACCUUUUACUUUUUUACUGUAAAAAUGUGACCUUUGGUGGUUGAUUCUCUUUGUUUUCCUUUUUUUUGCUCACCAUAUUUUAACUUGUGGUUACUUUACAACAUACUUUUGUCAAAUAAUUUAAUGGAUUCUUGAGUAUUUAUAAAAAUAAGAUUCAGUUUUUUCCUGUUUUAGAGGUUAUAAACAUGUUAUUGGUUUACUUUCUGUGUCUAAAUUACAAGAAUGGAGUUUUCCCUUUCAUCUUGUUUGCUCAAGCUUGUACCUUUACCUCUUUAUGCUAAAAUAUGACUUUUUGUGUGUGUGUGUGUUUUUUGAAAAGUUACCAGUCUCAAAAAAAAAAAAAAACUGUGUUUUUUAUUGUUGACAUUUUGUGGUUAUUUUCCUUUCCUUGCUCACCGUAUUUGAGCUUGUGGUUACUUAUUGUGUUGUAUAUCAUACUUUUAUCAUCUAAUUAUAUGGAUUCUUGAAUUUCCUCACAAAAAGAUUCAGUCUUUCCCUAUGUUAGAAGCUCGAAACAAGUUAUUGUUUUACUUUCUCUGUCUAAAUUACAAAAGAUGGUCUCUUUUCCUUCUUUAGUUUGGGUUUUGGACAUAUGGGGUUAAUAUUUUUUUCCCCCUCAAAAACUGAACUAUAUUUUGUUUUGAAAUGAAACAGGAGGACACAUCAACCCAGCUGUGACCUUUGGAUUGUUCUUGGCAAGGAAACUGUCCUUAACCAGAGCUAUUUUCUACAUAGUGAUGCAAUGCCUUGGUGCAAUUUGUGGUGCUGGUGUUGUGAAGGGAUUCAUGGUUGGUCCAUACCAGAGACUUGGUGGUGGUGCUAAUAUUGUUAACCCUGGUUACACCAAAGGUGAUGGCCUUGGUGCUGAAAUUAUUGGCACUUUUGUCCUUGUUUACACUGUUUUCUCAGCUACUGAUGCUAAGAGAAAUGCCAGAGACUCACAUGUUCCUGUAAGUGUUCUAUUGUAACUUCAUAUUUGACAUGCUUUUGGUUCAAAUAUCAUUACUCUUUUGUGAUAUGAAAUUGCUUAUCUUCAAAAUUUACGUGUUUGAUUUAUGUUCCAUUUGACCUGUACUUAUAAGCUUUGGUUGUACAGAAUUGGAUGUAAAUUCUGCUUGAAUCUGUUUUUUCCACUUUCUUAUAUGAAAAAUUACUUUAUGAAAAGGUUUUUUGGGGGAAGCAGAAGUUGUGGGGGUGGGUGAGUGGAUUGGUUUUAGGAUAGAGUUAACUUUUACACACUUAUUUUGGAUAACUAUAGGUGACCGUCCAUAAUAAGUGUUGUUAAUUACUUGAGAAAUAAGAGUUUAUGCAUUACUAGUCUAUAUUUUUUUUAUUAAACCAGUUAUUUAUAAGAUUUAUGACUACGACAAUAACAGCAAAACCAGUGGAAUACCAUAAGUAGGGUCUACCUUCGACUCUCGACUGAGAUAUAUGACUGCGACAACUACCUGUAAAAGUUGAGAUUAGUAACCUUGAGAAAAAGGAUAUGAGUAUAGACUAUAUAGUGUAAAAGUUAUUUACAAUGGCAGUAUAUUAUUAAAGGUAAAUUAUUUAGGACAAGUGGUCUUGCUUUUUGGUGCAGCUAAAAUAAUGUUCAUGCUAGCAUGUGGCAUGCUUGGUUUUGUCAGCAAGUGCUUUUAGUUGGUGCUGUGUGGGCACCCAUGCCAUUGAAAAAUAUGCGAUGAGUUUGGCUAAAGAUAGUGAUAUUCACGUGAAUGAGCUACUGUAGGUUUGGCUCUUUUUGUUAGAUAGAUGAAAUAAUGCAGUGAUUCUUCAUAUCAGAUGUUGUGGUCCUUGUGUUUGAAAUAAUUCUCAUCUACUCCCAAUAGGGUUUAAAAUUUAUUGUCUUACUUCUAGAAAAGUUGAGAAGGAGAGUCUUGGAGUAAUCGGUAAAGUUGUUCUCAUGUGAUCAUGAGGUCAUGAGUUUAAGCUGCAAAAACUGCCAGAUCCGAGCAUAGUGGAAGCUAGGUACACCAGGCUACUUUUUUUUUUUACAAUAAAAGUUGAGAUUUGGGUCACAAGUCAUGCUCUUUGGUUGUAGUAUGAAACAAUGAGUCCUUAACACCAAUCUAACCAAAUUAAAUGAAUAAUCAGAUGCGGGAUUACCUUGCGUGUUAUCUUUUAGGCGAGUUGACACUAUAACUUUAUACCAUUCAGCAUAUAGAAAAAAUUAUUUUUAAAAACAAGGCAUCAUUUUGAAAAAUUUGGAUGAUAUUGCAGAUUUUGGCACCACUUCCCAUUGGAUUCGCGGUGUUCUUGGUUCAUUUGGCCACCAUUCCCAUCACCGGAACUGGCAUCAACCCCGCUAGGAGUCUUGGAGCUGCGAUC
rnacentral:lncRNA from 1 species